UGAGGAAUAUUGGUCAAUGGGAGCAAUCCUGAACCAGCGACGCCGCGUGUGGGAUGACGGGGCUAUGCCCUGUAAACCACUGUCGGAUGGGACGAAAAGCGGGCUUCGCCCGCUGGGACGGUACCAUCAAAGGAAGGAUCGGCUAACUACGUGCCAGCAGCCGCGGUAAUACGUAGGAUCCAAGCGUUGUCCGGAUUUACUGGGUGUAAAGGGUGCGUAGGCGGACAGGUGCGUCAGAGGUGAAAUCUCCCGGCUUAACUGGGAGGGUGCCUUUGAUACGGCUUGUCUUGAGUGCGAGAGAGGAUGAUGGAAUUCCUGGUGUAGCGGUGAAAUGCGUAGAUAUCAGGAGGAACACCAGUGGCGAAGGCGGUCAUCUGGCUCGUAACUGACGCUGAGGCAC
rnacentral:rRNA from 1 species